GACGAACGCUGGCGGCGUGCUUAACACAUGCAAGUCGAGCGGAAAGGCCUGCUUUCCCUUGUGGAUUGCGGGUACUCGAGUGGCGAACGGGUGAGUAACACGUGAGUGAUCUGCCCCCAACUUGGGUAUAAGCCUGGGAAACUGGGUCUAAUUCCCGAUAGGACUGCAGGGUGGUGCCUGUGGUGGAAAACGAUUUUCUAGUGGUUGGGGAUGAGCUCGCGGCCUAUCAGCUUGUUGGUGGGGUAAUGGCCUACCAAGGCGGCGACGGGUAGCCGGCCUGAGAGGGUGGACGGCCACAUUGGGACUGAGAUACGGCCCAGACUCCUACGGGAGGCAGCAGUGGGGAAUAUUGCACGAUGGGCGGAAGCCUGAUGCAGCGACGCCGCGGGGGGGAUGACGGCCUUCGGGUUGUAAACUCCUUUCGACCGCGAGGAAGCCACCUAGUUGGAAGGGUGGUGACGGUAGUGGUAGAAGAAGCACCGGCUAACUACGUG
rnacentral:rRNA from 1 species